GGUGCUUCUGUCGCAGGUAUUCUUGAUCCCAGGAUGAUCCAAAGAUGAUUGAUCUGCUGGUUUGCAUGCCCUUUUAUAGCUGAAGAGGCUACCCUAGGGUUUCCUUGUUGAGUUGGGGCUCCUUUUCCCAAUUGGAGUUGAAUUCUUGGAAGAUAAUUGUAUUUUGAUGAGAUUUGUCUUCCUAAAUAUGUGGGAUUGAGUGCUGAGUUGUCUCUAGGGUUUGCUGAGCUGUCCACACGUUUUUGGGAGGAAAAACACUUCUUGAGCAUUUGAAUUUUGAUUUUCCCGCAAUUUACUGUCUGCUGGUUGCUGGUGCUGUUUGCCCAGGUUAUUUGGGCAAACAGCUCGGGCAAACAGUCUGGUUUUCCAAUUGUCUAUGCUCUGCUUCUGCCUUGCUGGUCUGUUUGCCCAGUCUGUUUGGGCAAACAGUCUGGUCAAACAGUAGAUUGUUCCUCUUCCAUUUCAGCUUCAACUUUGGUUUGGGCAAACAAUUUGGGCAAACCAUGCUUGUGCAGUUUUGCUCUCUUUUGGGCAGAUUUAAGGCCAUUUUUGCCAAAUUACCAUUUUACUCCAUUUUCUGCAAAAUAAGGUUAAAACCACAAAAUUAGGUAGAAAAUGUGUAAAUUGACAUAAAUAUUAAUAUGGAAAAUGGGUCUAAAUUUGGCUCUAUCAAAUACCCCCACACCUAACCCUUUGCUUGUCCUCAAGCAAAUAUACCUAGUGAAACAAGCUUUCUUUACUACUUGAUCCUUAUUUCCACUUAAGCUCAUACCCUAGACUCCUACUUUGAAGUAUUGUAGUGAAGAGUGUAUGCACCAAGGUUACUUUCCUCUUUUCCUUGUCUCCCUUUACCUACCAUGGUUAGUAUUUAUUUUCCUCAAGAGAUAUAUCAUGCACAUAUUUGUUUAUUUUUAGACUAUUUCUAGCUUUCAGAGUGAUUUGCCCUUUUCUUGAAGCACUUUACUCUUUUAUUCAGCUUUUGCACUUUUAUUCUUGCUUGAAAAAGUCACAACCUUUUGACGUGAAGGUACAUAUUUGUGAUACCCACCCCCAGUUACUCAGUUGGUCACUUGUCCAAGUAGCUACUAGCUUUGUUCAUAGUCUUUGACCAUUGAAACAGUUUUUACUUUGUGCUUUUGAGGUCUUUGCCUUUGCUGAAUUUUCUUUUUCUUUUUCUCAAUGAUUGGGGCAAAUCAACACCAAUUGCCAAAAUAAGUCAUAUUUAGUUCAUGCACACAACUUUUGAUUUAUUCUCUCUAAUGAGGGUCAUCAAUAUAUUUUUCACCAUGGCAAGCUCAAAGAUUCAAUUCAAAAGGAAAUUUCCAAAAAUGAAUACAACUCACUACAAUUGAUUCAACUUAGGUUUAAAGGGUCAUCACAUCAAUGGGGUCAUGAGAAGAAAACUCAUUCACUAUAGCCUAUGUGUUUGAGUAAAGCAUAUCAAAACAGUAAAAAGAAAAGACUGUGGCUAUGUGAAUGUGUGUGAGUUGAAGGCAAAAAUAACUAAAAAUGAAAAAAUUUAACCUAAUGUGUACUAAUUGAAAAUUAAAGCUUAAAAGAAAUUAAGAGGAAUAAAAAAGUAUGCAUGAAGCAUCAAAAUUCAGAGAUAUGCACCCCCACACCUAACUCAUGCAUUGUCCUCAAUGUAUGGAAAAAUUAAAGUUCAAGUGAAAAACUAAUACUUCCCUGGUGUGGUUGUUUGCCCAGUUCUGUUUGGGCAAACAGCUGGAUGCAUCAGGUAUUUCUGUGUGCAGGUGGCAGGAUGUGCUGCACCAGCAACUCCAACAUGCUUUCUAUGUGUGUCAGCCUAGCCUCAAUUCUGUCCAAGCGAUCUGCUUCUGCUUGCUGAGUUGCUGGAGGUUGUUGUGCUGGUGAUGGAGCCUGCUGUGUGUUUGCUUGUGCUGGUGGAGGGUUUGCUGGCUGGUAAGCACGCUGGGCUACUGCUGAUCUGCUGUAGGUGUUUGCCCAGCUUGUGUGGGCAAACAGAUUGGUAUGCUGCUGAUUGGCCUGUUGGUGCUGUUUGUGUGAUGCCCAGUCAUGCCUGUUUAAGAUUUCUUCCUUGUCGCUUCUGCUGCCUUGGGUGUUUGCCCAGCUUGCGUGGGCAAAUAGUGUGGUCUCACAAUGAUCUGAAGUGUGGUCUGGCAGUUUCUUGCGCACGGGCCUGCUGUUUGCCCAGUUGUGUGGGCAAACAGGUGGAAUUUCUGCAGCAUUCUGUGUGAAGGCUUGUUGUUUGCCCAACUGCGUGGGCAAACAAGCUGGUCGAACAAGUAGCUUGCUGUGUGGGCAGACAGUAUGUCAACUUUUUCUGAGUCAUCUCUGCUGUUUGCCCAGCUUGUGUGGGCAAACAGUUUUGGUCAAACAGCUCCCUACCUGCAAAACAGUUAAAACCUGGACUUAGGUUACAUUAUCUGGUUCCUGCAUCUCUAGUUGUUUGCCCAUGCUAUUUGGGCAAACAGUCACAUAUCUCUGUGUUUUUUUUUCUUUUUUCUUUUUUUUUUUCUGGAAAAUCUUCCUUGACUGGGCAUGUCUCCGCUGGGUUGCCUCCCAGUAGCGCCUUAGUUUAAAGUCGUAGGCUAGACUUUCUUGACUUGAUCAAGGCUCAAGUAAUUGAAGGAGGAAAAAGGGUUCCAACUGCAUUAAGUAAAAAGUGUAGCGCGCCUUUUGAUUUGGUCACAACCCAUCCUAUUUCUUUCAUGUACUCAUAAAGUAACAUGAUUAGCUUCUCCUCUUUCAGAUGAAGCGUGCCUCUAGCCCUUAUGUGUGCAUUUUUGAGAUGAUUGGGCAUCACUUCGAACUCCAAUUCAUAUUUCUCCAUAAGUGGCUGCGAUUUGGUAUUGAAUUCGGGCAAAACAAAUUCUACCUUAUCUUGCUGUUUGGGCAAACAGCAAUCUGCUUGUGCAAUCUGCAUAGCUUGUUUGGGCAAACAAGCUUUUGCCUUCUUUUCCUCAGCUGGGGGUUUGGUCAAACAGCAGCUCACUUGUGCUAGCAAUCUGGUUGUGCUAGAUUCUGCCCUCUCUUACUGUUUGGGCAAACAACAAUCUUCCUCAUGGUCCUUUGCUGGCUGCUUGAGUGAACAGCAUUUUGUCAAGGUUACUUGCCCGACUGAUCUGGGCAAACUGUUUCCAGCUUGCUGAAGUGGUUUGGGGAGGCUGCAAUAUUUUUGUGCUUGGUGCUGGACCUGUUCGGGCAAACAAGAUUCUACCUUGACUUGCUGUUUGGGCAAACCAAUCUGCUUUGACUUGCUGUUCGAGCAAACAAGCUUCUACCUUCUUUUCCUUUGCUGGUUUUUUGGGUGAAUAGUGUUCUGCCUUUGUUGUUUGCCCAACUGAUCUGGGCAAACUGAGUUCUUCUUGCUGGAGUGAUUUGGGCAGUCUGCCAUUAGUCUUAUCUGGUUGCUGAACCUGUUUGGGCAAAUAGGGGCUUGCCUGUUUUGCCUUUGCUGGCUGUUUGGGCAGACAGUAGUCUGCCUGCUCUGCCUUCUGUCUGCUUGUUUGCUCAGGCUGUUUGGGCAAAUAGCAAUCUGUCCUCUGCAUGCAGCAGUCCAUUGCUGUCCGUUUCAGCUCUACUUGGCUUCUUGCAUCUUCUUGGUUGUCCUCCCUACAAAAAUCAUCGGUUAGCAUAUCAUUUUGAUUUAUAUCAAAAAUUUCUUGGCUCAAAUAAUCAAUGAUGUCUAAACUAUCAACAGGUUUUGAUUCAGUUGGGGCACUUUCAGAAGUUGCUGGUUCAGCAAGUGCAACCACUUAUGGUUCAAUUGUGUUAAUUGCUGAGGUUGCUGGUGUUUGGACAGCAACAAGGGAUGCAAUGGUGGCAGAUUCAACACUUGCUGAUUUUUGGAUAGCAGGUUCAGCAAUUGCUAAUGUAAUUGUGGAAGUUUCAGCAGGUGGACAGCAGUUGCUGUCUCUAUCUUCAGCAGCUUGGUCAGCAAUAAAGUCUAAAUUUUUUACAGCAGGUGCUGCAAUAUUCUCAGCAGUAGCAGUAUGUAUUGCUGUUUCUUGGAUGGCAGGAGCUUCAACAAGUAUUGUUUGGACAGCGGCUGGUUCAACAAUUUUGCAGCUAGAUUCAGCAGGUAUAGCAGCAAGCACUGCAGUGUUUUGUGCAUCAAAUAAAGUAGCAGAUGAAGCAAAUUCAGCAGCUAGUUCAGUUUCAAGAGCAGUGGUGAUUUGUGCAGCAGAUUCAAUUUCUGUUUCUUGGGAACUUUCAUCAUCGUCCCAUACAUCUUGAAGAUCUUCCUCUCUUCUUAAUAUGUGCGCGUUCAUUGAGUUGACCGCUUGAUCCACUUGCUGUUGGAGAAUUUGCCCAAAAAUUUCCAACUUCCUCACCAUCUCUUCAAGUUCCAUAUAGGAGUUUUGAGGUGUUGCUUGGGCUUGAUAGUUUUGAUAGUAGUUAGCCCUUGCAUAGUCAUAAUUCGGGUAGUCCCUCCAACAUGGAUUGUAGGUAUCAAGGUAGGGAUCAUGUCUUGGCUGGCUAUUAAAUCCUCCAAAGGCAUGUACUUGCUGGUAAUCCUCAUAAAGUGUAGGACAUUGAUCAGUUGGGUGUCCUACAUAUGCGCAAAUCCCACAUGGCCGAGACUGCUGAAGUUAUUGAGCUUGACCUAUGACAUAACUUCUCACAACAGAGGUUAGUUCAGAAGUCGGGCAGUGAGAAUAGAUGUACUUACCUCAUCCAUGAAUCAGUUUCUUGAGUCCAGAUCUUGUCAUGAAAGAAAAAUAAAUAAGUUAAAUCAAUUCCCCGGCAACGGCUCCAAUUUUUGAUAAGCGGUUGUCGAAGCCGUAAAAAAUAAACCUAUUAAACAAUCAACAAUUAACUUGCAGAUAGUGGCAAUAUGGUCGAAUCCACAGGGAAUUGAUACUUACUUAUUUUCCUUGUCAAGACCAAGUAAAGAAACAAACAAUAAAAGUAAAAUGGGGGUUUUGAGGUUUGAUAAACUAAACUAAUAUUGAAAGCAAUAGAGAAAAGCAAAUAAUUAAAGUAGAGAAAUUCAAUAAUGAGAAAGGCCUAGUUGAAGAGUUGGAUCCACUUUAGUUGUUGGGAUUGAUCAUUGAAACUUAUAUUCUCUUAUUUAACUCAAUAAAUUAGUUAUGGAGGUAGAAGACGCUUCUCACCAACCAUAUCCCUCCUUAAACAUAGAUUAAUUAGGGAACGUCCUCUAAUUAAUCACUAAUCAACAAGUUGUCAAGGAACGUCCUUAGGCCUUUGGCAUCUAACAACUGUUAAUUGCAUUAAGAAAUAGAGAGACCUAAUUCUAGCUACCCAAACGUAUGGUGAUAUUGCUAGAUUAUGCGAUUUCCUAGGUUUUUAUACCAAGGGUUACUUGUGUUUGAAUAAUUCCAGCAAUUACGGACUAAAAAUUAUCCAAACUAACAAAGAAUUACUUUGCAAUCAAGAAUCAAGUGGCCAAUUUGAUCAAACAACAAAGCAAGAAUGAAUUAAGCACAAAAUUGCAUAAAUACUGAUUAAUAAAAGAAUAACAUAAAGGUUCAGAUCUCCCAAUCCAUAAACAACCUAAGUUUCACCUUAUUCUUCAACUAGAAAAAGGGUUUCAGCCACUCAUGGCUGAAACUAACACAAAAAUAAAAGAAAGAAAACAAGAAAAAAGGAAGAAGAAGGGUUGGCACAAGGGCGCAGCUGCUGUGGUGCUUCUGUCGCAGGUAUUCUUGAUCCCAGGAUGAUCCAAAGAUGAUUGAUCUGCUGGUUUGCAUGCCCUUUUAUAGCUGAAGAGGCUGCCCUAGGGUUUCCUUGUUGAGUUGGGACUCCUUUUCCCAAUUGGAGUUGAAUUCUUGGAAGAUAAUUGUAUUUUGAUGAGAUUUGUCUUCCUAAAUAUGUGGGAUUGAGUGCUGAGGUGUCUCUAGGGUUUGCUGAGCUGUCCACACGUGUUUGGGAGGAAAAACACUUCUUGAGCAUUUGAAUUUUGAUUUUCCCGCAAUUUACUGUCUGCUGGUUGCUGGUGCUGUUUGCCCGGGUUGUUUGGGCAAACAGCUCGGGCAAACAGUCUGGUUUUCCAGUUGUCUGUGCUCUGCUUCUGCCCUGCUGGUUUUUUUGCCCAGUCUGUUUGGGCAAACAGUCUGGUCAAACAGCAGAUUGUUCCUCUUCCAUUUCAGCUUCAACUUUGGUUUGGGCAAACAAUU
rnacentral:lncRNA from 1 species